rnacentral:rRNA from 1 species
GAUGAACGCUAGCGGGAGGCUUAACACAUGCAAGUCGAGGGGCAUCACGAGGUAGCAAUACUUUGGUGGCGACCGGCGCACGGGUGAGUAACGCGUAUGUAACCUACCCUGUACAGGGGGAUAGCCCGGAGAAAUUCGGAUUAAUACCCCAUAAAGAUAUCGGAAGGCAUCUUUUGAUAUUUAAAGUUUCGACGGUACGGGAUGGGCAUGCGUAACAUUAGCUAGUUGGUAAGGUAACGGCUUACCAAGGCGACGAUGUUUAGGGGUCCUGAGAGGGUGAUCCCCCACACUGGUACUGAGACACGGGCCAGACUCCUACGGGAGGCAGCAGUGAGGAAUAUUGGUCAAUGGGCGUAAGCCUGAACCAGCCAUCCCGCGUGAAGGAAGACGGCGCUAUGCGUUGUAAACUUCUUUUCCGGAGGAAUAAAAUUUCGUACGUGUACGGAACUGAAGGUACUCCGGGAAUAAGCAUCGGCUAACUCCGUGCCAGCAGCCGCGGUAAU